GGCCUUCCAAUGCUUACCACAAGCUGUGUUCUUUACACUGAUUGUAUAGAAAGAGGAGGUACAGUAAAUGCACCCCAUAUACACCUCAGCCCAGGCUUUUUGCCUGAAUAAAAAAAAAAAGUUAGGGGCCAGAA